rnacentral:rRNA from 1 species
UACGUAGGGGGCUAGCGUUGUCCGGAUUUAUUGGGCGUAAAGAGCGUGUAGGCGGCCAGGUAGGUCUGCUGUGAAAACUCGAGGCUCAACCUCGAGACGUCGGCGGAAACCAUCUGGCUAGAGUCCGGAAGAGGAGAGUGGAAUUCCCGGUGUAGCGGUGAAAUGCGCAGAUAUCGGGAAGAACACCCGUGGCGAAGGCGGCUCUCUGGAACGCAACUGACGCUGAGACGCGAAAGCGUGGGGAGCAAACAGG